CCUACGGGGAGCAGCAGUGGGGAAUAUUGGACAAUGGGCGAAAGCCUGAUCCAGCCAUGCCGCGUGUGUGAAGAAGGCCUUCGGGUUGUAAAGCACUUUCAGUGGGGAAGAAAGCCUUGGGGCUAAUACCCUCGAGGAAGGACAUCACCCACAGAAGAAGCACCGGCUAACUCCGUGCCAGCAGCCGCGGUAAUACGGAGGGUGCGAGCGUUAAUCGGAAUUACUGGGCGUAAAGCGCGCGUAGGCGGUCUGAUAAGCCGGUUGUGAAAGCCCCGGGCUCAACCUGGGAACGGCAUCCGGAACUGCCAGGCUAGAGUGCAGGAGAGGAAGGUAGAAUUCCCGGUGUAGCGGUGAAAUGCGUAGAGAUCGGGAGGAAUACCAGUGGCGAAGGCGGCCUUCUGGACUGACACUGACGCUGAGGUGCGAAAGCGUGGGUAGCAAACAGGAUUAGAUACCCUAGUAGUC
rnacentral:rRNA from 1 species